rnacentral:rRNA from 1 species
AUUGAACGCUGGCGGCAGGCUUAACACAUGCAAGUCGAGCGGAGCGAGGGUGCUUGCACCUUAGCUUAGCGGCGGACGGGUGAGUAAUGCUUAGGAAUCUGCCUAUUAGUGGGGGACAACAUUCCGAAAGGGAUGCUAAUACCGCAUACGCCCUACGGGGGAAAGCAGGGGAUCUUCGGACCUUGCGCUAAUAGAUGAGCCUAAGUCGGAUUAGCUAGUUGGUGGGGUAGAGGCCUACCAAGGCGACGAUCUGUAGGGGGUCUGAGAGGAUGAGCCGCCACACUGGGACUGAGACACGGCCCAGACUCCUACGGGAGGCAGCAGUGGGGAAUAUUGGACAAUGGGGGGAACCCUGAUCCAGCCAUGCCGCGUGUGUGAAGAAGGCCUUUUGGUUGUAAAGCACUUUAAGCGAGGAGGAGGCGCUCUAGGUUAAUACCCUAGGAUAGUGGACGUUACUCGCAGAAUAAGCACCGGCUAACUCUGUGCCAGCCGCCGCCGUAAAAC